rnacentral:rRNA from 1 species
UACAGAGGUCUCAAGCGUUGUUCGGAUUCAUUGGGCGUAAAGGGUGCGUAGGUGGCGGGGUAAGUCGGGUGUGAAAUUUCGGAGCUUAACUCCGAAACUGCAUUCGAUACUGCGGUGCUUGAGGACUGGAGAGGAGACUGGAAUUCAUGGUGUAGCAGUGAAAUGCGUAGAGAUCAUGAGGAAGACCAGUGGCGAAGGCGGGUCUCUGGACAGUUCCUGACACUGAGACACGAAGGCCAGGGGAGCAAACGGG